rnacentral:rRNA from 1 species
GUCCGCCAGAAAAUUACGAGCGAAAGCCUAAAACUCAAAAGACUUGACGGUGUCCCAACCUCCCUAGAGGAGCCUGUUCCAUAAUCGACAACCCCCGAUACACCUAACCACCCUUAGAACUACCAUCAGCCUAUAUACCGCCGUCGUACAGCCUACCUUUUAAAAGUAUACAAGUAGGCUAAAUAGUAAUAUACUAAUAAGUCAGGUCAAGGUGUAGCUUAUAGGGUGGAGGAAAUGGGCUACAUUGCUUAUAUUAAACCAUACGAACUUAUUCUAUACCUGAAAAAGAAAAUGAAGGCGGAUUUAGCAGUAAUUUAAACAAGAAUAUUUAAAUUAA